AUGCACGCUGGCGGCAUGCCUAACACAUGCAAGUCGAACGAAGGCUUCGGCCUUAGUGGCGCACGGGUGCGUAACGCGUGGGAAUCUGCCCUUGGGUUCGGAAUAACAGUUAGAAAUGACUGCUAAUACCGGAUGAUGUCGUAAGACCAAAGAUUUAUCGCCCAAGGAUGAGCCCGCGUAGGAUUAGCUAGUUGGUGGGGUAAAGGCCUACCAAGGCGACGAUCCUUAGCUGGUCUGAGAGGAUGAUCAGCCACACUGGGACUGAGACACGGCCCAGACUCCUACGGGAGGCAGCAGUGGGGAAUAUUGGACAAUGGGCGAAAGCCUGAUCCAGCAAUGCCGCGUGAGUGAUGAAGGCCUUAGGGUUGUAAAGCUCUUUUACCCGGGAUGAUAAUGACAGUACCGGGAGAAUAAGCUCCGGCUAACUUCGUG
rnacentral:rRNA from 1 species